CACGCCGUAAACGAUGAUCACUAGAUGUUGGAGGAUUUGACCCCUUCAGUGUCGUAGCUAACGCGUUAAGUGAUCCGCCUGGGGAGUACGGUCGCAAGAUUAAAACUCAAAGAAAUUGACGGGGGCCCGCACAAGCGGUGGAGCAUGUGGUUUAAUUCGACGCAACGCGAAGAACCUUACCUAGGCUUGACAUCCAGGGAAUUUGCUAGAGAUAGCAGAGUGCCUUCGGGAAUCCUGAGACAGGUGC
rnacentral:rRNA from 1 species